rnacentral:rRNA from 1 species
CGCGUAGGCGGCUCUAGUAGUCAGGCGUGAAAGCCCCGGGCUUAACCUGGGAAUUGCGUUUGAUACUCUAGUGGCUUGAGUUCGGGAGAGGUGAGUGGAAUUCCCAGUGUAGAGGUGAAAUUCGUAGAUAUUGGGAAGAACACCAGUGGCGAAGGCGGCUCACUGGACCGAUACUGACGCUGAGGCGCGAAAGCGUGGGGAGCAAACAGGAUUAGAUACCCUGGUAGUCCACGCUGUAAACGAUGUGUGCUAGACGUUGGGAGACUUAGUCUCUCGGUGUCGCAGCUAACGCUUUAAGCACACCGCCUGGGGAGUACGGCCGCAAGGUUAAA